GUCAGCAGAGUCUAGACGAAUUCUUUCUAACCUAGAAAAUCAUUUGCCUCAUCCUUGGAAGAUCCAAAAUCUCUCCAUUAUAAUCCAGACCUCAAGUUUCGUUAUUCUCACCGGAUCUCCUGCUAACCAAAGAUCUGAUUUCUGAUUUCUGAUCUCCGAUCUGACGGAGAAACCUUGACACUCCGAUGGCGGGAGCCGCCUCAACCCUCUUCCUUCUCGAUAUCAAAGGUAGAGUUCUCGUUUGGCGCGACUACCGUGGAGACUUCUCUGUUGUUCAAGCCGAACGCUUCCUCACCAAGCUAAUCGAGAAAGAGGAUGUAAGUUGCUCAGAGGCCACCCAUGCCUGUAACAAAUGCUGUAUCUUGGCAUAGAGAGGGCAUACAAUAUAAGAAAAAUGAAGAAUCUCAGUUGACUCAAAGAGAAGGGACUGACUGGAUUGCUUCCAAGGAGAGUUAAAUGCUUCUCUAGGAAUCUACAUUGUAUUGUGCUCUCUUUGCUCUUGCUAUUCAGGUUUUCUCACUUCUCUUUUCUUUCCAUGGACGUGUCUUUUUUGUAUGAAUUUGUCGAUCUACAUGAAUCCAGAUUAAUUUACAUAAAACAAAUUCAGCCGUUUCGCCAUUGGCAACAUCCAAACUAGUGCAUCCUACUUGCGCCAUUACUUGGACAGAUGAAGGCCUCUCUUUAGGUCAUGGAAGAAUGAGCUAUGAUCCGAAUAAUCGAAAUUAGUGGGACUCCAAUUUAUUCAAUUGCUUAGGCCGCAACGAAGAAUUCUGCAACAGCGAUCUCGAAGUUUAUAAGUUUUCCAGUUUCAAUUAGGUCUUCUUGGAAAUGUGGCCCUGUGUGUACUCUAUGAAAGUAAUGUGGAAAGACUUGGUUCAUCUCCUACAUGUUUCGUAAGCCACUACUUGCCUUACUCAGGCCUAUAUUUUGUGACGGAUCAUGUUGGGGUGUAUGAACCAAUUUAAUGUUUGUCUACAAGAUAUUUUGCUUUAGUAACUAUAAUUUACAAGAAGUCUUAUUCGGGCAUAGUUUGAAUUCAACACUCCCCUUUAAGUACUUACAAUUUUUUGUGGAUUUUCUGCUAAAUGUCACUCACUU